rnacentral:tRNA from 1 species
AGCCUUGAGGUGUCAUCACGUAAGAUUGCAAAUCUUAAAUAGCAGACAACCCCCCUGCCGAGGCUU